rnacentral:rRNA from 1 species
GACGUAGGGCGCGAGCGUUGUCCGGAUUUAUUGGGCGUAAAGAGCUCGUAGGCGGCUUGUCGCGUCGUCCGUGAAAACCUGGGGCUCAACCCCAGGCUUGCGGUCGAUACGGGCAGGCUCGAGUUCGGUAGGGGAGACUGGAAUUCCUGGUGUAGCGGUGAAAUGCGCAGAUAUCAGGAGGAACACCAGUGGCGAAGGCGGGUCUCUGGGCCGAUACUGACGCUGAGGAGCGAAAGCGUGGGUAGCAAACAGG